GAUGAACGCUGGCGGCGUGCCUAAUACAUGCAAGUCGAGCGAACAGACGAGGAGCUUGCUCCUCUGACGUUAGCGGCGGACGGGGGAGUAAAACGUGGAUAACCUACCUAUAAGACUGGGAUAACUUCGGGAAACCGGAGCUAAUACCGGAUAAUCUAUUGAACCGCAUGGUUCAAUAGUGAAAGACGGUUUUGCUGUCACUUAUAGAUGGAUCCGCGCCGCAUUAGCUAGUUGGUAAGGUAACGGCUUACCAAGGCAACGAUGCGUAGCCGACCUGAGAGGGUGAUCGGCCACACUGGAACUGAGACACGGUCCAGACUCCUACGGGAGGCAGCAGUAGGGAAUCUUCCGCAAUGGGCGAAAGCCUGACGGAGCAACGCCGCGUGAGUGAUGAAGGUCUUCGGAUCGUAAAACUCUGUUAUUAGGGAAGAACAAAUGUGUAAGUAACUAUGCACGUCUUGACGGUACCUAAUCAGAAAGCCACGGCUAACUACGUG
rnacentral:rRNA from 1 species